AACGAACGCUGGCGGCAUGCCUAACACAUGCAAGUCGAACGAGACCUUCGGGUCUAGUGGCGCACGGGUGCGUAACGCGUGGGAACCUGCCCUUAGGUUCGGAAUAACUCCCCGAAAGGGGUGCUAAUACCGGAUAAUGUCUUCGGACCAAAGAUUUAUCGCCGUUGGAUGGGCCCGCGUUGGAUUAGCUAGUUGGUAGGGUAAAAGCCUACCAAGGCGACGAUCCAUAGCUGGUCUGAGAGGAUGAUCAGCCACACUGGGACUGAGACACGGCCCAGACUCCUACGGGAGGCAGCAGUGGGGAAUAUUGGACAAUGGGCGAAAGCAUGAUCCAGCAAGGCCGCGUGAGUGAUGAAGGCCUUAGGGUUGUAAAGCUCUUUUACCCGGGAUGAUAAUGACAGUACCGGGAGAAUAAGCUCCGGCUAACUCCGUG
rnacentral:rRNA from 1 species